CCCCGGCCCCGCGCUGCUCCCGGGACUGGCGGAGCCGCAGCGGGCUCGGCUCAUCCUCGGCUGCUGCCGAGCCGCGCUCCGUCUGGCCGUUCCGUCCUCUUGCAUUUCUCUCGCCCCCUGUUUUGUUUUUUAAAUUUAAUUUUUUAAUGUGCGGUGUGCGGAAUUUCGUUUCUUUGAACUCCGUGUGGUUCUGCCCCGGCAAACGGGACAGGUCGGUCCCCGGCUCGCACUCUCCCUUACAUGCUCAAUCCACACAGGUGUGCACUUUCAUCAGUUUUCGACUGCACGGUGUCACCGGUAUUUGUCCCCGGCUUCGUUAUAGCGAUCGCUCUGGAGCACUGCAUUUCUUUCUCCACUCGAAAGCUCUUCUGUCAUAAUCCUCUGACAAUCCCCCUUGUUCGGGGAGUGAGAUAUCAUCUGGUCAAGUUUUAUACGUUUAACAUUCAUUUUAUAUGUGAGUAGAAUAACUAACUGCUUUUCCGUGCUGCUUUCUUUGUAGGAAGAAGCAGAAGUUUAAACCAUCUUCCCAUGGCAUCUGACUUUUUUGAAGAGGAGGACUUUUCAACCACUUGAUGGAAGGAAAAUAAGAAGUUUGUUUCAAGACUCUUACGUUGUUCAUCAGUGCUGUUAACAAACGUGGGGCUUGAGGAUGCAUUUGCUGCUUCUCUGCAUUUUUGCUGAAGGAAGGACCUUGCUGUCUCCCAGCUCCUGUGGGCAUUAGGUUUCAUGGAUGUCUCUUGGGAAGAGGACAGCUCUGUAGAGUCUAAGUUUCAAAAGUAAUUUUAAAGAUUGCACCCAAGAGAGAAGCAGUGAGAUGCACAGUGGGGAAAAGGAACCCAGGAAUCCUAUCCUGUACCUGCCUGAAUAUGGGAAGAGACUUAGUACAAUGCCAGAAUGCAGCUGGGCUUGCAGUAUUUUUAACCAUAUUAAGUCCUGUUCAGAGUUAAUGAUGAGCUCAGUGAGAUGGUCUCAGCAGUGCUGAAGGAGGGAAGGACAGAACUGGAAGGCAGGAGCUACUUCAAAGCAGGAUUUUUCAUAUUUCUGUAAUGCCCAAACAUGAAGACUUUAUAAACUUCAUUAGAUCCUGCCAUCAAUGACUGAGCCUCCCUGAAAUCUUAUCAGUUACUGCCAAGAUGAGAGGGAUAACAGGAAGGAGGAGUGCUUAAGUGACUUUAAUGACAGUUAAUUUCUUCUAUUUAUCAAACGACAGAUUGUUUUUUCCUCAAAACUCAAUUGUCAUGACAAGAUGCUUUUGGAAGUCAUCUUUGUAAAAUAAAACUGACAAUUUUUAGGCUACAAAGAGCUAUUGUAUGUUUUUGUUGAAUGUUGUCAUUAUGGUAAACUGCUGGAAGGUCUUUAUUUUGGAAGCAAUUUGACUUGCAUACUUCAUUCAUUUAUUUUAAUAUCUGUUGAAUGCCAUGUGAAAAGUUUCUUGCCGGAAUUAUUUUUAUUCAAUGGAAUAGUUAUUGUUACAAUGCUCAAUUUAUUAAUGUCUAAAUUACUGUUGCCCUAGCUUCCUGCAAAACUGUUUCUUAUUAGUAAUUCUUAAACAAAUAAGGAAUGAAUUAGGUUUUGUCCCCUUUGUGUUUUGAUCUGCAUAUUUUCCCUUUCAGUGAAGGUGUCUUCAGUAUUUGGAAUGACACAACACAAAGAAAGGUGGUUUGGUUUUUGGAGUUUUUUUUCCCCAACAGCACAUGUCUUUUGUGCAAUGGUUUUUUAAUAUGGACACUGCCAAGAUACAAUUACUGGAAGGAGAGAGAGAAGCUGUUGGGAAUGUCAUGUUAUGCCAAAUUAAGAAUUAUUAGCUCUUACUUUCUGUGCAAUCUCUUCGACUAGAACUCGACCUAUUGCGUCUGGCAUAUACUUUGACUCUAGUGGAACUAAUGUGUCCUUGGAGUAGCAUUUCAGAGUAACUUCAGAUUCAUGCUUUUUUCACAAGUCUGCUUUAAACUGCUGGGAUUAACUUCAGAGAAGGCGAGAGAUACAGGCUCCUUUGUCAGCAGCUGUGCUGGUUGAAGCAGGAGGCUUCCUGUGCGCCUGCUCACUCCUUCUCUCCCUGCUAGGGAAGCAGGCUGAGCUGUUUCCCUGAGCACACGCAGACUGACUUCAGCCAGAGUUAAUCGUGCUAUCAAAUAUUAGUUAUCCAGCGCCCUGGGUCACUCUGAUGAAAGGACAGGGCAUGCACAGACCAGCUGUGCAGACGUCAUGUCUGGGAAGGGUGCUGUGUUGACAGGAGUGUUGCUGAGGGCUGGCCCUGGUGUGUUGCCUUUUCAGCAGGUGCAGUUACAUAUCUUGGAUGUGGUAAAAAUUGGACGUGUUAGAAAGCUGUGCAGAUCUGUCAUGCAUAAUAUUCACAUUCCAGGGACACCCUGGAUAAUGCAGAAUAAACCUGUGUUCUUUGACUCCUUGUGUGUGCCAGUAUGAGGGGAGAGAACCAGUGUGUGAGAGAACCACCUAUUUCAGGAAAAUGUAUCUGGUCAAGAUGUGGGAAUGGUACAAGUGUUUCCAUUAUCUAGAGAACACACUUGUUACUGUACUCAUCAAAGAGGCUGCCUCAGCCAGCACAUGCCUCAGGAGAGCUGCUUUUGACACAUCAGCUGCCUUGAGUGGAGAAGAGAGAACACCUCCAGCAGGAGUGGCUGCUGUUGCUUCUCUACAGUGUUGAAUCAGUGCUGGAGUCUGGUGAGGCAUCCCAGCUCUUGCUAUCCCCUAUGCCAAAAUUAGAAUGGUAUGGAUAAUCUUUAGUACUCCCAUAGUGGGUAAAAGCAGUGCACUGAGCAGCUCCUUCCACACUGCCCCUUCUUGUGCAAAGGCCAUGGAGUGUAGGUGCCUUCCUAGAGCCAGCCUGGGCUUACAAAGAACAAGAGAACUGUCAGAAUCCUGAGAGCAGCAGCACUGUUUGCAUCUCCUCUCAGGGCACUGCCAGGUGAAAAGAACACAGCCACAGAAAGGACUGAGCCUCCAGCUCAGGUUGUGUGUCAUCCAUUAUCUUUUAUUUGUCCUUAAGGUAAAGGAUGAGGAAUAUGCAGUGGCCAUACUGGACGUACAGAAGGGAGGAAAAUAAAGUGGCAGGUGUGUGAGGAAGAGGCAGGUGUGGCUCCAGGUGUGAGAGUUGUGCCCUGUUCCAGCAGCCCAGGGCUGAGCCAUGGCUGAGCUCUCAGUGCUGGGUUCAGGAGUGAUGUGCCUGCCCCAAAUGACUGUCACACGUCCCCCCUGACCAGGAACUAAGUGCAGAUGACCUCCACAGCUCUCUGAGACAGCCCAUAAUCCAUAUGACUAUUUUUAUCUUAAAAUGGAUUCUUGUAGUAUCAAGAUUGAAAUGUUUAAGGAAAUGCUUGUGAUUGCCUGGGAGUCUCUUUACCUGCCUAAGUGGUAAUACACAGGUAAACCAGUACUGCAGAAUAACAUCUUGCAUAGGACACUGUCAGGGAUGUCAAGCUGAUGAGUAAAAUUUUACAUCCAAGGACUUAGAGCCAUCAAAUACUAUAGUUAAACUGCCAUACUGUUUAUGUAGUGCUAAAAAGACAAAACUUCAGGGAAGGCAGAUUUUCUUCUUAUAAAUAUUCUGAAUAAUAGCUUGGUUUCAAGUAGACUUCCUGGCUCUUUGGUGAUUGCUGAAUUUGGUCUGAAUCUAUCAGGAAUCCCAGUCAUAAUGGUGUGUUUAUUAUUAUAAGCACAUGACUUCUAUAUAAGUUCUCCACAAAUAUGUUGGACAAAACAUAGUUUACCUUCUUAACUGGUACUAUAUGGUUACUUUCUAUCUCCUUUAAUUUGAGUUCUAACUUGAUUGAAUAAAAGGUGAAUUCCUGACAGUAAUCUUUACAUCUGUAAUGGAACACUUGAUUUUAUAUGACUGUUUGCAUACUCCAGACAUAACACAACAUUUUUACAGCAAUAUGUGUUGACAAUACACAGAGAUAAAAAUCAGUUUAUGACAAAUGAUGGAGCAAACUUUUAAUAAGACCAAUGAAUCAUUAGAAAUUAUUAGAAAGGGAAUAUUAGAUUUUCUAUCUUUUGAAUGAGGAUGAAAUAUUUUUAUAGAGGUAUAUGCUUGAACAAAUGGCUGGGGGUGGUAGAAGAAUUCCUCACUGGCUUCUGUGGCUUUUGCAACACCUGAGGUCAGACUGGGUCGUCUUAGACAUCCUUCUGGCUUGGAAGGGAGUAAGAAGUCUCAGUGUAGCAAAAAUCUUCAUAGAAAUGCAGCUUCCACUGAAAAGUUACCCAAAGUUAAUUAAGCUUAUCUUCAAAAAGGAUGGGGAGGAGCAUUGGGAAUGUUCCUCUCUCCUAGUGCCAUGCCUUUUUCAAAGAUCCUCUUAACCUGACUGCUUGCUCCUGUGGAGUGUUUCAUUGGCUGGGGUGGGUUUCUCUGGUUCAUCCAUCCUCACCCCACCCACAUUAAUCAAACAGCACAUGAACAUCUGUUUUCAGAGCAAAUGUCUUCUGCAGAGUGUCUACUUCUACAAAGUGUAAUGCUGUCUUUCUGCUAGAAAUAAUUAUUAGGUUGAAAAUAAUCUGACAACAUCCUGCUGUGGAUAAAUUAGGUUUGUUCUCUACUAAGAUUAGUAAGCUGGCAUCCAUUCACUAAUACAUUACAAGAAAAUGAUUGCAAGUUGAUUGUAUCCAGUUAUCUGCCUUUUUUCUGUUUAAUAGGCUUUUUGUUGCCAUGCUGUCACCAAAUGUGUGCAAGUCAUACUUUUCCAAGUGCCCUGCAACCUGGGGAGAUGGUGUUUGCUGUCCUGUACCAUGAAAAGACUUUUGGGCAGAAGUGUUUGGAGAAGUGGAGAGAUUGUCUCCAUAUAGAUUUCUGAAUCCUGUGCACCUUUGGUUUUGGCCAACAGGGGUGUGCUCUGCUCUGUGGCAACCAAUACAUUACCACCAAAGUCCAAAUGCCUGGUAUAAUUAGCUCAUGUUUAAAUAGGUGCUGUUAUUUUUCAGCUUGUAUAUACAAGCCUGUUUUCGUGCAGAAGUCCAUAUUUACUUGGGAAGAAUGCUGUGCAAAUCAGAAAAAGCAGAAAAAUUAUUUUAAGUUAUAUGCUAGUGUUUAAGAUUUUAGAAAUAACUGUGAGAUCUUGUAGGCACACAGUUUGUGGUGACUGGGAGUGGGGCUGGCCCAGCCCCAUCCCCAGUGGGUGCAGCUGUGAGCAGCAGGUGAGCAGCACUGGCAGCAAUGAGCCAUGGAGUGCCCAGGGGCACUGACCAACCCCCAAAGGGAGCAGAGGCACACAGGGGCAGGGCAUCAACAUGAGGGGAUAAAAGGUUGGGCUAAAGAACAAGAAGGGCAGAUGCUUGUAGCCCUCUGAUGUGAUCUGGUGUUCCUCUGUAUGGGCAGACACCUGAAGCCUGCUGAUGUGGUAAGGUGUGACCCUGUCUGGGGGAAUGCUUAAUGCCUUAUGAAAUUGUAUGGUGAUCAUCUCAACUGUACCAUAUAUUGUGACAAGAUCUUUAUUUCUUUGUUUACAAUUGAUUAGGGUUAGAGUUUUAAAAGCUUAGUGCUGCCUCAAAGGGCUUUACAGUCAGUCACUGAGAAUUAUGGGCUUGGCACAACUCACGUUUUGGUCCUUCAGUAUAUCCAUUAUUGUUAGAUGCUGAGUGGUCGUUGCACAUAGAUGACUGGUUUUUUGGGGAUUUUACAUUUUUACAUGUUCAGAAAAUUACUUUGUUAAAGUAGCUGCUGGGUGAAUGGAGUAAUUAAAGCACUGUACUGGUUUUAUUGAAGCUGACAUAUGCUGCACAUUCCUUAAAACUCAGUAUGUGAGCAGAAUGUUUUCAGGAUUUAUUGAAGGCAGACAUCUAGAGAUACUAGGGAGCUUUUAUAGUAGAAAAAAUAACUUCCAAGUUUUAUGCUGUUAUAUAAAUCUGUCUUUAAGAAGAGAGCUGUUGUUGCAAUACAUUGCUUGUGUUCUUCAUAUUUUGUCUGUGUGUAUGUUUUAUGUAUGUGUUUGUACACCUACACACAAAUGCUGGACCUGAACACUUUCAUUUAACAGUGAUUGUAUAUUCUAUUUAGUAUUUAUUUGAGAAAAGAAGUGUUUUAGUGCUGACUGAGAAUCUCAGUUUGCUUGGUAUGAAAAGUAAUCUGCAGUACAUUGUGGAGGUUUUUAGUUUAUUUUAAACUGGAAUACAUCCCUGCUUAGUUUGAAUUACAGCUCUUACUGUGUGAGUGUUGUGGUAGCAAGCAAGGAAUCUUAGCAUAAACUGAAGCUGGGUUUCAUUUUAACUAGUAUGAUGACUGCAAUGUUCCACAUGUGAUACUUUUGCAAGUUGUGAAAAAAUGUUAUGUAUCUAUCAUCCAUAUUUCAUGUGAUUUCAGAGUAGAAUGUUGUCAUUACUGUUAAGUUACUUGGCUAAAACUAGCAAACUUUCACCUGUAUAUUUUGUAAUGUUUAGACCUUAAGUG